CAAAGUAUAGCUUAAUAAAAGCACCCGGCCUACACCCGGAAGAUCUCAAAUAAACUGAUUACUUUGA
rnacentral:tRNA from 1 species